CCUACGGGUGGCAGCAGUGGGGGAUAUUGCACAAUGGGGGAAACCCUGAUGCAGCGACGCCGCGUGGGUGAAGAAGCGCCUCGGCGCGUAAAGCCCUGUCAGCAGGGAAGAAAAUGACGGUACCUGACGAAGAAUCCCCGGCUAACUACGUGCCAGCAACCGCGGUAAUACGUAGGGGGAAAGCGUUAUCCGGAUUUACUGGGGGGAAAGGGGUCCGAGACGGCGAUGCAAGCCAGGAGUGAAAGCCCCGGGCCCAACCCCUGGAGUGCUCUUGGAACUGCGUGGCUGGAGUGCAGGAGGGGCAGGCGGAAUUCCUGGUGUAGCGGUGAAAUGCGUAGAUAUCAGGAGGAACACCGGUGGCGAAGGCGGCCUGCUGGACUGCAACUGACGUUGAGGCCCGAAAGCGUGGGGAGCAAACAGGAUUAGAUACCCUUGUAGUC
rnacentral:rRNA from 1 species